AGAAGAGAAGAUAUAUACUGCUCUGACAAAAAUAAAAACAUUUUUUUGGUUUAGAAAAUGGAAAGCGUUCAGAUGCUGGAGAAAUGCCUUGAGUCGACAAAAGUUUAAAAAAGCACGUCAGGCACUCAUUGAGACACAUUUUAUAAGUUGUUCAGAACUUAGCAAUCAAUAUCUACAGAUUCAG